rnacentral:rRNA from 1 species
GAUGAACGCUGGCGGCGUGCCUAAUACAUGCAAGUCGAGCGAACAGACCAGGAGUUUGCUCCUCUGACGUUAGCGGCGGACGGGUGAGUAACACGUGGAUAACCUACCUAUAAGACAGGGAUAACUUCGGGAAACCGGAGCUACUACCGGAUAAUAUAUUGACUCUCAUGGUUCCAUAGUGAAAUACGGUUUUGCUGUGACUUAUAGAUGGAUCCGCGCAGCAUUAGCUAGUUGGUAAGGUAACGGCUUACCAAGGCAACGAUGCGUAGCAGACCUGAGAGGGUGGUCCGGCACACUGUAAGUGAGACACAGCCGAGACAUCUACGCGGGGCCGCAGUAGGGAAUCCUCCGCGAUGGGGGAAAGCGUGACGGAGCAACGCCGCGUGAAUGAUGAAGGUCUUCGGCUCGUAAAACUCUGUUAGUAUUGAAGAACAAAUGUGUUAGUAACUAUGCACGUCUUGACGGUACCUAGUCAGAAAGCCACGGCUAACUACGUG